UUAACACGACUGUUCUCGUACUGAGUGACGAAUUUUGCCCUGCUUGAAAUAGCUGCGCUUAUUAAACGGUCAAGAAGUAGUACAUUUUGAAGAGCAAAUAGCCUAUCUGAGCUUGUUAGGGCUUUUAUUUUCUUUCUUUUGCUGAAUGUUGCUAUUUUACAAUCUAUUUACAAAUUAUGUAGACUGUUUAACUACUUCUGUGGAAUGUUUUCCGUGGUGCUGUUUAUGUAAGGCUUAAACUAAAUUGAAAGCGAAAGUGUAACUUCAGCGCUUCGUUUGUCAGGAAUACGUAAGACUCCAUCAUAGUUUUUAGGCUAAACUGCUACAUUUUGAUUUUCUAUGUCAGUCGAUAGUUUUCCUCAAGACAUUUCAGUUAAACACAAAGAAACUUUAUAAGGCUAUCUGUGUUGCAGACAACCAGGUCGACCAGGUGACAGGACUACCAGGUGACAGGACUAGGCUUGCGUUGACUCAACUGUAAAAUGGCAGCUGAGCACUCAACAAAAUGUUCUGAGGAUCUUACUCCUCAGUCUGAUCUCCGACUUGUACUGCUGGGGAAAGUUGGGGCCGGUAAGAGUGUGGUUGCCGGACACAUCCUGGGAGAAGGGAACUGGAAAGACAGAGGCAUGUGUGUGAAGAAGCACGGAGAAGUAGCAGGAAGAACAGUGACUGUGGUGGAAACACCAGGCUGGGACAGAGUGUCUGUGAAACGCACGUCCAGCCAAAUCAAAAAGGAAAUUGUGAAAAGUGUGACUCUGUUACCCCCAGGACCUCAUGCUCUCCUGCUUGUGGUGCCCUUAGGGGAAGAGAUUUCAGCCAAUGAGAAAAAGUCAAUCCAGCACCACAUGGAGCUUUUGUCAGAUAGGGUUUGGAAACACACUAUGCUCCUGUUUGUUAGUGAAGAAGAGGAUACAUUCACUCUCUCCAAACAGGUUAUGGAGAGUACAAAAGCACUUUUGGAGAAAUGUGGAGGCAGAUAUCAUGUUCUUUGUGGACCUUCAAGUAAUCGUACGCAGGUGACAGAGCUCCUGCAGAAGAUUGAGGUGAUGGUGGAGGAAACCGCUGAUGAGUUCUUCUUACCCCAAGUGUACUAUGAUCUGUUUGAGAGGAAGAUGCCCAGAGAGGUGUCAGAGACAAAAGGAUGUAUGAGGAAAAAAUGAAACAAAGUCUGGCAAAACAGAAACAAAGAUACGAAUGUCAGCGGAAAAAUAUGGAGGAUUUGUAUAAAACAGAAAUGAAGGCAAAAGAGGGGUUGAGGAAGCGGAGGAGUAGUCUUGACAAUCCACCCACCUUCAGUGGCGAAGAGCAGGAGACAAAGGAUGAUCAUGGCCAUCAGAAAGUGGACCUGGAGGUAGUAAGAGAUGGUUACAAGGAGGCGGGCAUGGCUGUUAUGAAGCACUACAUCAAGCCAUUAUUUAUGAUAAUUACUACAAUCGUGGCAGCAUUCUUUGGGGCGAUUGCAGGAGCCCAAUAUGGACCACUGGGCUCAUGUCUUGGGAUUGUAGUUGGUAUUGGUGUCAGUGUUGUGGUGUGCUAUGCUGUCCGGGAAGCAGCUACAGCAGCAAGAGACAUUCCAUGCUCAACCCCAGUCCAAACAAAACACCUCCUUUUAUAGUAUUUUGUACUUGUAUAUAUUGUAUAUUGGUUAUGUUUGGUGUCACCUUUUGGUGAUAUUAGCUUUUUAGGAUAACUUGUAACAUGAUCUAAUGACAAUAUCUAAUGACAGGAUGAUUAGAUUAGCUAAAAUUAAACUUGUAAUUUAAAUGUAAUUGCAUGGGUAUAAAGCCAAUGAAAUGCUGUUAGCAUCUAACCAGAAGUGCAAAAUAAUAGCAUUUAUGUACAGCAGUGUGAAUAUACUGUAAGUACCAAAAUAUGGAGGCACUGUCAUGCACUGUAUUUUACUGUUUAAUGUUUUAAUGUUGUUUUAGUGGAAAGAUACAUGAAUAUAGGCCAACACAAAGAUGAAUACAUGUUACCCUUUUCAAGAAAGUUGCAAUUGUGUUAUUGAAAGAUAUAUAUUUUAUUUUACUUAAACCAUUUGGUCCAAGAAAAUCAUAAAGAUACAGGAGUAGUCCAGUCAGAGCCCAACAUAAAUCAAUGUAGAUAUACACAUUUAAUAUGUACAAAUCAAGGUGUAAAAAUGUGAUUUUAUGCUUUAUGUCUAAGUUUCUUUUUUUAAAUGUAGACUUUCUGAUGUGUUGCAGGAUGCCUUUGUUUUGUCUUUGUGGGACACACAUAAUUCAUUAAAUGGUUAAUAUUU